rnacentral:rRNA from 1 species
GGGAGGCAGCAGUGGGGAAUCUUAGACAAUGGGGGCAACCCUGAUCUAGCCAUGCCGCGUGAGUGAUGAAGGCCCUAGGGUCGUAAAGCUCUUUCGCCAGAGAUGAUAAUGACAGUAUCUGGUAAAGAAACCCCGGCUAACUCCGUGCCAGCAGCCGCGGUAAUACGGAGGGGGUUAGCGUUGUUCGGAAUUACUGGGCGUAAAGCGCGCGUAGGCGGACUAUUAAGUCAGGGGUGAAAUCCCGGGGCUCAACCCCGGAACUGCCUUUGAUACUGGUAGUCUUGAGUUCGAGAGAGGUGAGUGGAAUUCCGAGUGUAGGGGUGAAAUUCGUAGAUAUUCGGAGGAACACCAGUGGCGAAGGCGGCUCACUGGCUCGAUACUGACGCUGAGGUGCGAAAGUGUGGGGAGCAAACAGGAUUAGAUACCCUGGUAGU